UAUGUGAUCGUCUCUUGCAUAUCAAUAAGCGGAGGAAAAGAAACUAACUAAGGAUUCCCUCAGUAACGGCGAGUGAAGCGGGAAGAGCUCAAAUUUGAAAUCUUCAAGGUUCUACCCUUGACGAAUUGUAGUUUAAAGAAGUGUUUUCUGUUGAAGUUUUGGUAAAAGUUCUUUGGAAUAGGACAUCAUAGAGGGUGAGAAUCCCGUAUUUGACCAUUAUUUCCAGCUGUGUGAUACACCUUCAAAGAGUCGGAUUGUUUGGGAAUGCAGUCCAAAAUGGGUGGUAAAUUUCAUCUAAAGCUAAAUAUUGGCGAGAGACCGAUAGCGAACAAGUACCGUGAGGGAAAGAUGAAAAGAACUUUGAAAAGAGAGUUAAACAGUACGUGAAAUUGUCAAAAGGGAAGCGUUUGACACCAGUGUUGUUUUCUCGAAAAUCAAUUAAAAAUGAGCUUUAGAUUUGUGUGUAUGCGACCUUAAUCAGCGUUUUGCACUCUUUUCUUGUCCUUUUUAAUGCACUUUUCGUUUAACAAGUCAACAUCAAUUUCUUUUGUUGUAAAAGAGUCAUUGGAAGGUGGCUUUCUUUUCGGGGAAAGUGUUUAUAGCCUUUGGCUUCUGCAAUCGGAGAGAUUGAGGUCUGCAGCGUAGAUCCUUCGGGGUUAGAUACGUAGAUGCUAAGUUAUAGUUUUUUAUAGACAACUUGUUGACUAUAAUUAAUCAUGUAGCUUACUCGUUUGCGCUAUUUUACCUACGCUUAGGAUGUUGAAGUCAUCGUAUCGCGC
rnacentral:rRNA from 1 species